rnacentral:rRNA from 1 species
AACAUGUCUUUUUGAUAAUAAUUUAAAGUCUAACCUGCCCACUGAUAAUUUUUGAAGGGCCGCGGUAUAUUGACUGUGCAAAGGUAGCAUAAUCAUUAGUCUUUUAAUUGAAGGCUUGUAUGAAUGGUUGGAUGAGGUAUUAACUGUCUCAAUUUAAUAAAUAAUAGAAUUUUAUUUUUAAGUUAAAAAGCUUAAAUAAUUUUAAAAGACGAGAAGACCCUAUAGAUCUUUAUAUUAAGAUUUUUAAUAAUUUUUUGGUUAAAAUUUAUUUUUAUAAGUUAAAAUAUUGAGUUGGGGUGAUUAAAAAAUUUAAUAAACUUUUUUUUUGUUUUAACAGUAAUUUUUGAAUAAUUGAUCCAUUUUUUGUGAUUAUAAGAUUAAGUUACCUUAGGGAUAACAGCGUAAUUUUUUUGGAGAGUUCUUAUCGAUAAGAGAGAUUGCGACCUCGAUGUUGAAUUAAAGGUUAAUUUUAGGUGUAGAAGUUUAAAAUUUUGGUC